CGGGUGUAGUUUAGUGGUAAAAUUCCAGCUUCCCAAGCUGAAGUCGCGGGUCCGAUUCCCGUCACCC
rnacentral:tRNA from 1 species